GAUGAACGCUGGCGGCGUGCCUAAUACAUGCAAGUCGAGCGAACAGACGAGGAGCUUGCUCCUCUGACGUUAGCGGCGGACGGGUGAGUAACACGUGGAUAACCUACCUAUAAGACUGGGAUAACUUCGGGAAACCGGAGCUAAUACCGGAUAAUAUAUUGAACCGCAUGGUUCAAUAGUGAAAGACGGUUUUGCUGUCACUUAUAGAUGGAUCCGCGCCGCAUUAGCUAGUUGGUAAGGUAACGGCUUACCAAGGCAACGAUGCGUAGCCGACCUGAGAGGGUGAUCGGCCACACUGGAACUGAGACACGGUCCAGACUCCGACGGUAGGCAGCAGUAGGGAAUCUUCCGCAAUGGGCGAAAGCCUGACGGAGCAACGCCGCGUGAGGGAUGAAGGUCUUCGGAUCGUAAAACUCUGUUAUUAGGGAAGAACAAAUGUGUAAGUAACUAUGCACGUCUUGACGGUACCUAAUCAGAAAGCCACGGCUAACUACGUG
rnacentral:rRNA from 1 species